GAGCAUUUCUGCUAUAGAUUGAGAAUAGU
rnacentral:piRNA from 1 species